CUUUUACAGCUCCUUUCAUCUGAAUUUCUUGCAGCACUUCACUCGUGCAAGGUUAAACUCACUCUCUUGCACUGUACGUCAUAAACACUCCAAAGAGUGCAUGUAGAAAGACUUGGGCACAGAGAGGGGGGUGACUUUGCCAGGGUCCCACAGCAAGCUGUUGAUGAACCGGGAGAAGAAUUCUAGUCCAGCACUUUUUCUGCUCUCUCUCAAGGGUUUGGGUAGCUUAUAAGUAAAAGUACAAACACCAGCAACAAGUUUUGAUUAUGAGUUAAUAUUUGCACAGUGCCCAACAGUGCACUGUAUUUUUUAUAAUGGUGGAGGGAGAAGGGCACAGUGCCUUGAGGCAGGAGGAUGCUUUUCUUGUUUUUGCUGCUUGGCAUCUGUGUACUAUGGUGAUGUGCUUAUUAGAAACACACGGACUGACUUGGUAGCUUUUGUGUCUACAAGGUAUGGGCUGAUGCUGAUACAGUCUUCUGGCUUUGAUGCAUUUUCCAUUCCUGCGUGACGAUUCCAGGCACUGAAGCUUAGUCAGCCCAAGUUGACGUGGAUCUUUAUUAUUUAUUUUCUAAGCUCUCUCAGAACUGAUGAAACCCCCUGGUGUGGCAGCACAAGCUAGAAGGGUGCUGGAUGUGGAUAGCUAAAGAAAGAUGGCAGCGGGCAGACUAUAAGGCGUGCUGGACUGGAAACAUUUCUCAACUUUGAUGGAGCUUCAGCUCUCUGAGAUUUCACGUGUGAGCGCACAGAAAAUACAUAAUUCUUCACGCAGCGAUAGAUUAAGGAAAAGUCAUCAACAAAGAUUUGCGUCACUAUCUGAGCCUGCAGUUCCAGAAGGGCUCCAUCGACCAUAAACUCCAGCAGGUGAUCAGAGACAAUCUCUAUCUGAGAACCAUCCCAUG